rnacentral:rRNA from 1 species
AGAGUUUGAUCCUGGCUCAGGACGAACGCUGGCGGCGUGGAUUAGGCAUGCAAGUCGAACGGUAGAGAGAUUUCGGUCUCUUGAGAGUGGCGAACGGGUGAGUAACACGUAGGUUAUCUACCCUCAAAUUGGGGACAACCCAGGGAAACUUGGGCUAAUACCGAAUGAGUGCAUCAGUGAUGGUGCAUAAAAGAUGGCGUAAGCUGUUGUUUGAGGAUGAGCCUGCGCUCUAUUAGUUAGUUGGUGAGGUAACGGCUCACCAAGGCGAUGAUAGAUAGGCGGCCUUAACGGGUGGUCGCCCACACUGGGAUUGAGAUACGGCCCAGACUCCUACGGGAGGCAGCAGUCGAGAAUAGUCUACAAUGGACGAAAGUCUGAUAGUGCGACGCCGCGUGAACGAAGAAUCCCUUCGGGGUGUAAAGUUCUUUUAUAUGUGAGCAAUGCUUCCUAGGUGAAUAGUUUAGGGAGAGAGAUAUUAGCAUAUGAAUAAGCAACGGCUAACUCCGUGCCAGCAGCCGCGGUAACACGGGGGUUGCUAGCGUUGUCCGGAAUUACUAGGCGUAAAGGGCAGGUAGGCGGAUAGAUAAGUUUGAUGUUAAAGGCGACGGCUUACCCGUCGUAAGGCAUUAGAUACUGUUUAUCUGGAAUGCGGUUGGGGAAGACAGAAUUCCUGGUGUAGCGGUGGAAUGCGCAGAGAUCAGGAGGAAUACCAAAGGCGAAGGCAGUCUUCUAAGCCGUUAUUGACGCUAAACUGCGAAGGUGUGGGUAUCAAACAGGAUUAGAUACCCUGGUAGUCCACACAGUAAACGAUAAUCACUAGGUGUCGGGUUCGAAGAGGAUUCGGUGCCGUAGCUAACGCGAUAAGUGAUUCGCCUGGGGAGUACGAUCGCAAGGUUGAAACUCAAAGGAAUUGACGG